rnacentral:snoRNA from 1 species
GGAUCAAUGAUGAGUACCCCUACCUAACUAUAUGCAUUCCUUGGAAAACCUGAAUAAAAUGAGUGAGAACCUCCACCACCGCCGUUCUCAUCGUAUCUGAGGUCC